rnacentral:tRNA from 1 species
CAUAAAUGACGGAAUUGGUAAACGUAGAGUCUGACAAUAGCGAAAGCGACGAUAGGACUUCGGGAGUAGCCGUGAGGUUCCCUUGUAGGUUCGAAUCCUGCUUUAUGCAC